UGGCUCUCCCAUCGAUGAAGAACGCAGCGAAAUGCGAUAAGUAAUGUGAAUUGCAGAAUUCAGUGAAUCAUCGAAUCUUUGAACGCACCUUGCGCCCUUUGGUAUUCCGAAGGGCAUGCCUGUUUGAGUGUCAUUAAAUUCUCAACCUUCAACUGGUUUGCGCUAGUUUUUGAAGGCUUGGAUGUGAGGGCUUUGCUGGCUUCCUUUAGUGGCGGUCAGCUCCCUUUAAAUGCAUUAGUGGGUUUCUGUUUUGUGAAACGCUUCACUUGGUGUGAUAAUUGUCAUCGCCGCUUUGAAUGCGAAGUAACAAGCAACCUAAUGAAACUUGCUUAUAACCGUCCGCAAGGACAAUGACUUGACCAUUUGACCUCAAAUCAGGUAGGACUACCCGCUGA
rnacentral:misc_RNA from 1 species